GACAGAGGAUGCAAGCGUUAUCCGGAAUGAUUGGGCGUAAAGCGUCUGUAGGUGGCUUUUCAAGUCCGCCGUCAAAUCCCAGGGCUCAACCCUGGACAGGCGGUGGAAACUACCAAGCUGGAGUACGGUAGGGGCAGAGGGAACUUCCGGUGGAGCGGUGAAAUGCGCAGAUAUCAGGAAGAACACCCGUGGCGAAGGCGGUUCUCUGGGACGGUACUGACGCUGAGACGCGAAAGCGUGGGGAGCGAACAGG
rnacentral:rRNA from 1 species